rnacentral:sRNA from 1 species
ACACAAGAAAGGAGGUGGUCCGCGAAUUGAUUGGCUUAUGGACUUGUGAGGUGGCUGCGCGCUAAGCAGCGCCAGGCUGGAAAGAACCGGCAGCAUCUGCUGGCGAAUUCCCCGCAGCCACCCGGCCCCCGAGCCUCCGGUCUGUCCAACCAGGAACUACGGCUCGGGGGCCGUCUCAU